CAGCCGUAAACUAUGCGCGUUAGGUGUAUCGGUGACCACGAGUUACCGAGGUGCCGAAGGGAAACCGUGAAACGUGCCGCCUGGGAAGUACGGUCGCAAGGCUGAAACUUAAAGGAAUUGGCGGGGGAGCACCACAACAGGUGGAGCCUGCGGUUUAAUUGGACUCAACGCCGGGAAGCUCACCGGAUAAGACAGCAGAAUGAUUGCCGGGCUGAAGACUCUGCAUGACUAGCUGAGAGGUGGUGCAUGGCGUCAGUGACU
rnacentral:rRNA from 1 species